rnacentral:misc_RNA from 1 species
GGGGGGCAAGGGCACGUCCGUGCUUGCUCGAGUGCAAUAUGUCGAUUUGCAGAUGUAUAAUCAUUUGAAAACCGAUUGUCUCUCAAGUAAGCCUUACGUUGCCCUUUGUCACAUGUCCCGCGUACGAAUUAAUACAAAUUCAGAUCCGAGCUGCACACGUGGCGAGAGCGGGUCGCAGAAAAGUUUGUAUUAUUUCGUGCAACGGUCAGUUGGCAACGGGAUGUCUUGCAACGUUGUCCCGUUCGUACCGUGUACGUCACAUGUGUGACGUGUAUGAGAUCGACGGGACAACGUUCCACUUAAUGUAGUUGGCCUCAAAACUUAAUGGUUUUGGGGGUAACACACGCGUGAUGUGAACUCUCAGGAAGCUUUUUUGCAAGUUAUCCGCACGUGCGUUGCCCACAGCUCACGUGCGGACACUUGAUUGGCUAGAGUGAUGUAGUGCACUAAACGCAUGAGCAGCUUUGGACCCGUGUCUGUCGGUAGAUCCCCCGUCGUUCGAUGGCUGACUAUUGACACCUUGUCCUACCAAUCAGGCAAUGUUUUAUCGCUGGAUUAGGAAGUGCUUGCAUAUGAGUACCCGACCUACGGGAAGUGGUGCGUUGAAUAAUUGUUACCAUGCGGCGGACGCCCUAAGGGUGUUUUGCUGUGGCCGAAUAGCGUUUGCAGCGUUGCCUCGUAACAACAUCAUGUAACAUGCUUGUUGCUAUCAAGGGAACCUUGCUCGCGUCGUUGGUCUUGGAUGUUGCUCAUGAUAAAGGCUCGUGGCCCAUUUGGUUGCCUCGACCCAACCCUAAGCUCUACGUCUUGAGAACAACCGGAACAAGAGUUGCAUCUACCUCACCAGAGUUACGCAACUCUCUGUGCCGACCCUCAAGAACGAUGAGCUAUGCCCGCUCGAAAGAGACAACCGGCUUGGCUGUUGCCUCUGUGUUUCUAUGCAAAUUGAAACCAUAGGACGACUCCCAAUGCUGGAUGUCACCGAGGACGUGC